rnacentral:tRNA from 1 species
GUUUUAAUAAUUUAAUUUAAAAUCUUGAUUUUGUAAAUCAAAAAUAAAAUAUAUUUUUUUUAAAAUA